UGGAAAUUUGAGAGGAUCUGCUCCUAGUACGAGAGGACCAGAGUGGACGAACCUCUGGUGUUCGGGUUGUCACGCCAGUGGCAUUGCCCGGUAGCUACGUUCGGAUGGGAUAACCGCUGAAAGCAUCUAAGCGGGAAGCCCACCUCAAGAUUAGAUUUCCCUAAAGAGCCGUUCAAGACUAGGACGUUGAUAGGCAGGGUGUGGAAGUGCAGCGAUGCAUGUAGCUAACCUGUACUAAUUGCUCGUUUGGCUUGACCAU
rnacentral:rRNA from 1 species